rnacentral:rRNA from 1 species
GACGAACGCUGGCGGCGUGCCUAAUACAUGCAAGUAGAACGCUGAAGAGAGGAGCUUGCUCUUCUUGGAUGAGUUGCGAACGGGUGAGUAACGCGUAGGUAACCUGCCUGGUAGCGGGGGAUAACUAUUGGAAACAAUAGCUAAUACCGCAUAAAAUUGAUUAUUGCAUGAUAAUUAAUUGAAAGAUGCAACUGCAUCACUACCAGAUGGACCUGCGUUGUAUUAGCUAGUUGGUGAGGUAACGGCUCACCAAGGCGACGAUACAUAGCCGACCUGAGAGGGUGAUCGGCCACACUGGGACUGAGACACGGCCCAGACUCCUACGGGAGGCAGCAGUAGGGAAUCUUCGGCAAUGGGGGGAACCCUGACCGAGCAACGCCGCGUGAGUGAAGAAGGUUUUCGGAUCGUAAAGCUCUGUUGUAAGAGAAGAACGGGUGUGAGAGUGGAAAGUUCACACUGUGACGGUAUCUUACCAGAAAGGGACGGCUAACUACGUG